AAGAGUUGCAAAACUCCCACAAACCAUCGCGAACGUUACCCAGACGUCGUUGCUUCGGCGGGCUCGCCCGCCGGGGGGACGCUACCAGACUCUUGCAGUUCUUCGGCCUCUCUGAGUAUGAUUUUUUAAAUAAGUCA
rnacentral:misc_RNA from 1 species